ACUGAAUCCAUAGGUUAAUGAGGCGAACCGGGGGAACUGAAACAUCUAAGUACCCCGAGGAAAAGAAAUCAACCGAGAUUCCCCCAGUAGCGGCGAGCGAACGGGGAGGAGCCCAGAGCCUGAAUCAGCAUGUGUGUUAGUGGAAGCGUCUGGAAAGGCGCGCGAUACAGGGUGACAGCCCCGUACACAAAAGCGCAUGUGCUGUGAGCUCGAUGAGUAGGGCGGGACACGUGGUAUCCUGUCUGAAUAUGGGGGGACCAUCCUCCAAGGCUAAAUACUCCUGACUGACCGAUAGUGAACCAGUACCGUGAGGGAAAGGCGAAAAGAACCCCGGCGAGGGGAGUGAAAAAGAACCUGAAACCGUGUA
rnacentral:rRNA from 1 species